rnacentral:rRNA from 1 species
CCCUUAGAUGUUCUGGGCCGCACGCGUGCUACACUGAGUGGAUCAGCGGGUCAGGUUGCGCGAAAGCGUUUCCUAAUCUUUAAAUCCGCUCGUGAUGGGGAUUGACGGUUGCAAUUUUCUGUCAUGAACGAGGAAUACCUUGUAAGCGCGGGUCAUCAUCCCGCGCUGAAUACGUCCCAGCCCUUUGUACACACCGCCCGUCGCUCCUACCGAUUGAGUGGUCCGGUGAGGCUUUGGGAUCUGAGCGGAAAGAGCGUUUCGCUGUUUCUGCUCGGAAAACUCAGUCGAACCUUAUCAUUUAGAGGAAGGAGAAGUCGUAACA